rnacentral:tRNA from 1 species
GCCAAUUUGGCUCAGUGGAUAGAGCAUCAGCCUGCAGACUGAAGGGUGCCGGGUUCAAUUCUGGUCAAGGGCA